rnacentral:rRNA from 1 species
AGUGAACGCUGGCGGUGGGCCUAACACAUGCAAGUCGAACGGCAGCACAGUAAGAGCUUGCUCUUACGGGUGGCGAGUGGCGGACGGGUGAGGAAUACAUCGGAAUCUACAUUUUCGUGGGGGAUAACGUAGGUAAACUUACGCUAAUACCGCAUACGACCCACGGUUGAAAGCAGGGGAUCUUCUGACCUUGCGCGAUUGAAUGCGCCGAUGUCGGAUUAGCUAGUUGGCGGGGUAAAGGCCCACCAAGGGGACGAUCCGUAGCUGGUCUGAGAGAAUGAUCGGCCACACUGGAACUGGGACGCGGUCCAGACGCCUAAGGGAGGCAGCAGUGGGGAAUAGUGGACAAUGGGGGCAAGCCUGAUCCAGCCAUACCGCGUGGGUGGAAAAGGCCUUCGGGUUGUAAAGCCCUUUUGUUGGGAAAGAAAAGCAGCAGGUUAAUACCCCGCUGUUCUGACGGUACCCAAAGAAUAAGCACCGGCUAACUUCGUG